rnacentral:rRNA from 1 species
UACGAAGGGUGCAAGCGUUAAUCGGAAUUACUGGGCGUAAAGGGUUCGUAGGUGGCCAACUAAGUCAGACGUGAAAUCCCUCAGCUUAACUGGGGAACUGCGUCUGAUACUGGAUGGCUUGAGUGUAGGAGAGGAAUGCGGAAUUCCAGGUGUAGCGGUGAAAUGCGUAGAUAUCUGGAGGAACACCGGUGGCGAAGGCGGCAUUCUGGACUACAACUGACACUGAGGAACGAAAGCCAGGGGAGCAAACGGG